rnacentral:lncRNA from 1 species
GGGAAUUGGGCUGAGUAUUGUUAUCUUCCAAUGGUUGUGGUAACUUCAUCUUCUCUUGACUUGCUUCACUAGUUGGCUUCUUGGCUCGUCUAUUUCGACUAGGUUGAAAUUCUUUGAAAAAGAUACUCCAACCCUCAAGGUUCCUAGUCUGAGUACUAUCUUUAUCUUGAAUAUCUUCCUCUAGGACUGGUCCUUGGGCAUACAACUUUCUCUUCUUAUUAAUGUCUAAAUAAUAACGUUGUCUCGCUUCAGCUGUCAUUAGGCUAUCUUCUUUUUGGAGACAUGGAAGUCCAUGGUGUUCACAACAUUGACAUGUUCCUAGAAUCUUAACAUCCACAUGUUGUCUCUCCAUUUCCAGCUCUGGCGCUUCACGACUUGUCUUGUUCCUUUGACGGUUCCCUGCUUCAGCAACUUGCCUCUUCACUGGUUCAGUGGGAAUUCUAGCCUUG